CCUGGCUCAGGAUGAACGCUAGCUACAGGCUUAACACAUGCAAGUCGAGGGGCAGCAUGAACUUAGCUUGCUAAGUUUGAUGGCGACCGGCGCACGGGUGAGUAACACGUAUCCAACCUGCCGAUGACUCGGGGAUAGCCUUUCGAAAGAAAGAUUAAUACCCGAUGGCAUAGUUCUUCCGCAUGGUAGAACUAUUAAAGAAUUUCGGUCAUCGAUGGGGAUGCGUUCCAUUAGGUUGUUGGCGGGGUAACGGCCCACCAAGCCUUCGAUGGAUAGGGGUUCUGAGAGGAAGGUCCCCCACAUUGGAACUGAGACACGGUCCAAACUCCUACGGGAGGCAGCAGUGAGGAAUAUUGGUCAAUGGACGAGAGUCUGAACCAGCCAAGUAGCGUGAAGGAUGACUGCCCUAUGGGUUGUAAACUUCUUUUAUACGGGAAUAAAGUGAGGCACGUGUGCCUUUUUGUAUGUACCGUAUGAAUAAGGAUCGGCUAACUCCGUGCCAGCAGCCGCGGUAAUACGGAGGAUCCGAGCGUUAUCCGGAUUUAUUGGGUUUAAAGGGAGCGUAGGCGGACGCUUAAGUCAGUUGUGAAAGUUUGCGGCUCAACCGUAAAAUUGCAGUUGAUACUGGGUGUCUUGAGUACAGUAGAGGCAGGCGGAAUUCGUGGUGUAGCGGUGAAAAUGCUAGAUAUCACGAAGAACUCCGAUUGCGAAGGCAGCCUGCUGGACUGUAACUGACGCUGAUGCUCGAAAGUGUGGGUAUCAAACAGGAUUAGAUACCCUGGUAGUCCACACAGUAAACGAUGAAUACUCGCUGUUUGCGAUAUACAGUAAGCGGCCAAGCGAAAGCGUUAAGUAUUCCACCUGGGGAGUACGCCGGCAACGGUGAAACUCAAAGGAAUUGACGGGGGCCCGCACAAGCGGAGGAACAUGUGGUUUAAUUCGAUGAUACGCGAGGAACCUUACCCGGGCUUGAAUUGCAACUGAAUGAUGUGGAGACAUGUCAGCCGCAAGGCAGUUGUGAAGGUGCUGCAUGGUUGUCGUCAGCUCGUGCCGUGAGGUGUCGGCUUAAGUGCCAUAACGAGCGCAACCGUUAUCGAUAGUUACCAUCAGGUGAUGCAUGGGGACUCUGUCGAGACUGCCGUCGUAAGAUGUGAUGAAGGUGGGGAUGACCUCAAAUCAGCACGGCCCCAUCGUCCGGGGCUACUCACGUGUUACAAUGGGGGGUACAGAAGGCACCUACACGGCGACGUGAUGCUAAUCCCGAAAGCCUCUCUCAGUUCGGAUCGGAGUCUGCAACCCGACUCCACGAAGCUGGAUUCGCUAGUAAUCGCGCAUCAGGCACGGCGCGGUGAAUACGUUCCCAGGCCUUGACACACCGCC
rnacentral:rRNA from 1 species